CGAAGUAGGACGUAGCGCGUCAAGUGCCGCAGGAUGGGAAGUUGUCUGCGGACGAAGAGCAUAGCUCGCGGUGCUGCAUCCGCAUCCGU
rnacentral:ncRNA from 1 species